UCGAACGCGUCUUGGUUAUUGAUGUUAGAUGCUUGCAUUUAACUGAUUUAACAUUGAGACGAGUGGCGAACUGGUGAGUAACACGUGGGUAACCUGCCCUUGAAGUAGGGGAUAACACUUGGAAACAGGUGCUAAUACCGUAUAACAACCAAAACCACCUGGUUUUGGUUUAAAAGAUGGCUUCGGCUAUCACUUUAGGAUGGACCCGCGGCGUAUUAGCUUGUUGGUAAGGUAACGGCCUACCAAGGCAAUGAUACGUAGCCGACCUGAGAGGGUAAUCGGCCACAUUGGGACUGAGACACGGCCCAAACUCCUACGGGAGGCAGCAGUAGGGAAUCUUCCACAAUGGACGAAAGUCUGAUGGAGCAACGCCGCGUGAGUGAUGAAGGGUUUCGGCUCGUAAAACUCUGUUGUUGGAGAAGAACAGGUGUGAGAGUAACUGUUCACAUCUUGACGGUAUCCAACCAGAAAGCCACGGCUAACUACGUGCCAGCAGCCGCGGUAAUACGUAGGUGGCAAGCGUUGUCCGGAUUUAUUGGGCGUAAAGCGAGCGCAGGCGGUUUCUUAGGUCUGAUGUGAAAGCCUUCGGCUUAACCGGAGAAGUGCAUCGGAAACCAGGAGACUUGAGUGCAGAA
rnacentral:rRNA from 1 species